GCACAUAAGAGAUGUUUACACAGUAUAUUGCGUGGUAAUUACUUAUCAUGUUUUUGGACCGUUUCAGAUGAAAGUUUACUGGGAGGGACCCCUGACUCCCUGUCCGACAGGUCACAGUCUGAUAUCUUUGCUGAGCUGGAUGAUCUGGCCCCUUGCUCAAGUUCCUGUGUGUCUCCGGACCACCCAGCCGGGAGUCAAACUGACCGAUCCUCACCUACCACAGAUCUGAGUCCUGGACUUGCGGCACUGACUGUGGGAUGUGAUUCGGGUGAUCUGGGAUCUUUGUCCCGUGUGCAGCUCCUGCUAUUGGAGCGAAGAGGAUCCGAGAGUCCAGGUUCCAUCCCAAGUCCCGAAUGGUGUCGAACUCUGGACGGGGAGGAGUAUGAACCUGGCCUAAGAGUCUGGAGCUCGGGCAUUUCCCAAUAUUAUCAGUCCACAGUCCCCGACAACCGCAAACCAUUAAGUGGCAGAAACAGCAGCCAAGAUUCUUUGGCAACUUUCAAGGGACGCAGAAAGUGCCCCGGGCUCAUCAGUGUGGGGAGUGUAUCAAGGACAUCAUCCUGUUGUUCUCUCAGCUCAAGGGUGUCUGAGAGCAGCUCCAGGAACCGAGAAAAAAACACCUGUGAGGACCAAGGUUGUGAAUCCCCAGAUGAGAAUGUCCCACUCUAUUUAUCACCUCUCUAUCCCAGUGCUUUGCUGACAGAAAGCCCAACAAACGGGGGGACCAUACUGGUCCCGCAAUGUGGAACCAGUGACCAUGCUGAAAAGCACAGAAACAGGUCAGACAGACUUCGAGAGAAGAGGAAGAGGAAGAAGGAGAUGAAGAAGACAGAGGAGAGGAAAAAUAAAGCCCUGCAGAUUUACUCCAAACUUCAGGAUGGAAAAGACCCAACAGAGCCCACUCAUCAGAGCCCUUGCUCUAAGUUUGAGGACUUUGAUUUUCUGGCAAAGUACUGCAUCCUCAGUCAGGACAAGCUGUCCAUGUACAAAAGAGCUUUUGAGGCCAUUCUGGAGCUGGUUGAUUUCAGAGUAACAGAAGGCCUUACGGAUCUGCGCCUGUUUGCUGUAGUGGCCAGUUUGGCCCAGAAAAUAGCCACACUCGAUGAUUUCAUGCGCUCCCUCAUCAGCAAGAUGGAUUUCAAAUCUCUGGAGAUGAAGCUUUAUAAAGCCAAGGUUUGUUUUCUAUCAAUGCUAAUGGUAUUUAGUGUAAAAAUGAACAUCUGUCAUACUCGCUAGCAAACUGUUCCUGACCAUUUGGCAGUCCUGUCCCUCUUUCUCCCACUCCCUCUCUCAGUAGGAACUAAUUACAGUGAAAUAGAGACCAUAAAACACUUUAAAGGACAACUCAAACGCGGGCUUAGUAAAACUAGCUGCUUCCGUCAAGCACCUUGUAUGUGAAUUGAGAGCCGAA
ensembl:lncRNA